CAAGAAUCCUGCUCUCUUCUUUAAGAUGUGCCUAUUAGCAAAGUGCCCGCUUAAAAAGGCACCUGCUCCCCCCUUUAGCCUUAAAUAGUCCACAGUGGAGCUCCAGGACAACAUACUUGAACAUGUGAAGAGACUUUGAGUGUGAUAACAUCCUUUGUUGUAACUAUCUGCUCGUCCAGAGAGGAGGCGGGCGUUGGGCAUGGGGACAAGAGGCCACGCUGCGGCGGCGGCAGUGGUGGCGGCGGAGGGGGAGAGUGGUUGUAGCGCCAUGAGAGGG
rnacentral:misc_RNA from 1 species